AUUCAACUGACGAGUUCUAAAUAAAACGAGAUGUGCGUGCUGAAU
rfam:Schistosoma mattheei strain Denwood, Zambia genome assembly, scaffold: SMTD_scaffold0008115